GUUUCCCUCUUAUUAUUUUAAUUUUUAAUAAAAAUGAUGCUGAGUUGUGUGAUGAUGUGUUAAAAAUAUCCUACAUGUCAUCUUACUUAUUUUUAACAUGUCAUAUUAUUUUUAACAAAGGGUACAAAUCUUAAAAACAAAUAAACAUUACAAAAACAAAAAUUAAAAUUAAAUUAAUUCUAACUAUCAGUAAAAACAAAAUCAUAAUAAUAUAUAUUUUAUCAUUUAACCCUUUCAGACAAAUAAAAAUACUCUGGUCUGGUCUCUCUCCCUUUUAGAAAACCAGUCGAAGAAGAAGCGCCCAUCGAGAAGAAGCGCCCAUCCUCAGCGAGAGUACCCCGGAGGCCUCGACGCUGACCAUCGCCUGAGAAGAAGCGCCCAUCCUCAGCAAGAGUAUCCCCGAGGCCCCGACGCUGACCAUCACCUGAGAAGAAGCGCCCAUCCUCACCUGAGAGAAGAACCCAUACUCGUCGAUCGCCACCUGAGAAGAAAAACCCAGAUGUGCAUGAGCGGGGUGCCUCUUUCGUCCUCCCCUUUAGCCCAGAAAUCCUUAGAAGGUUUAUGAGAAGAAACGCCCAAAAAAAUACUCUGGGAGCUGACUACUCAGGUAGUGAUGGCAUGAAUUCUGGCUCAAUGAAUAUUAUCAGAGGUUUUUAAUGAAGUAAGGUUUAUAGGAAUCUUAUCAAUGGAAGUUGUUAAGAUUUUUAUUUAUAUAUUUUUAUUUUAAAGAUUUGUGCUUUUUUAUUUUUCUUUAUUAUUUUGUGUUUUUUUGUCAUUGCCAAUGAAUAUUAGAGUUAGAGACUUUUAAAGAUACCCCAUUUUGAAGACUUUCCCAGCGUCCCUUUUCUUGGUUUGGUGUCUGUUUAAUUUGAAUGCAUCUCUGAAGACUCACUACUUUAUUUCUAUGAAGCAUGUAUGACUCAAUAAGCCCAAGCCCAACCAAAAUGUCAUUAGCCUCUCUUUGACAAGAGCAAUUCUCUCUGUCUCUACCAUUAUUGAUUGAUCGUACAAUGGGAGAUCCGCUGCUGCUCCGUUGAUCUGUGAACUUGCUACGGCGAUUCGCUCCGUCAAUCAGUGGAAUUUCUCCAGCAACUUGCUCAAUCAACUUGCUUUGACGUUCUAUGGCCACUGCUGAGGCAGGAAGCAUGAAAAUGGGCAUCAUAACUCAGCUGUUCAUUUGUUUUCUCUGUACAUUUGUUUUCUUUUGAAGAGGAAGAUUAAGUCCUGAUAUAUAAGUCAUCUAGGAUUACAUGGAAAAUUACGAGAUUAAAGUUCCUUUCCAGUCUCUUGAAGCUCUAGGGUGCCAUGUUGAUGCAGUUUGCCCCGAAAAGAAGGUUGGUGAUACCUGUCCAACUACUGUGCAUGAUUUUGAAGGUGAUCAAACAUACAGUGAAAAGCCAGGCCAUGAUUUCGUGUUGACUGCUAAUUUUGAAGGUUUAGACGCAUCAAGUUAUGAUGCUCUUGUUAUCCCCGGAGGACGAGCUCCAGAGUAUCUAGCACUGGAUAAGGAAGUCAUUGCCAUAGUGAAGCACUUUAUGGAAGCCAAUAAGCCUGUUGCAUCUAUCUGCCAUGGCCAACAGAUUUUAUCUGCUGCUGGGGUCCUGCAGGCUUAUUGAGUGAGCCUAAAUGGGGACAUCUAAAGGAUCUGCAUGCUGCUAUAAAGCUCUGUGAACCUUCUCUGGUUGCUGCUGAUUCACCCCAGUAUAUUAAAUUAGGACCAAAGCAGGAGAAUUAUGGUGCAUUCUUGGAGAAAGACGGAGCAGGGUUUAGAGGGCAAGCUAAACUUACUGGAUUUCAAAAUGGGGAUAUAGACCUCUCAAAGUCUUUAUGGACCU